ensembl:misc_RNA Y_RNA Y RNA
UGCUGGUCCAAAAGUAGUGAGUUAUCUUAGCUAUUGUUCACAGUCAGUUACAGACUGAACUCCUUGUUCUACUAUUUCUCCCCUUCUCACUACUGGGUUUGACUAGUCUAUU